UUUAUAUGUUUUUCAUCAGCUACAUCUGGUACCUUGGCUGGCAUUAUGGGAAUGAGGUUCUACCACUCUGGAAAAUUCAUGCCUGCAGGUUUAAUUGCAGGUGCCAGUUUGCUGAUGGUCGCCAAAGUUGGAGUUAGUAUGUUCAACAGACCCCAUUAGCAGAAGUCAUGUUCCAGCUUAGACUGAUGAAGAAUUAAAAAUCUGCAUCUUCCACUAUUUUCAAUAUAUUAAGAGAAAUAAGUGCAGCAUUUUUGCAUCUGACAUUUUACCUAAAAAAAAAGACACCAAACUUGGCAGAGAGGUGGAAAAUCAGUCAUGAUUACAAACCUACAGAGGUGGCGAGUAUGUAACACAAGAGCUUAAUAAGACCCUCAUAGAGCUUGAUUCUUGUAUAUUGAUGUUGUCUUUUCUUUCUGUAUCUGUAGGUAAAUCUCAAGGGUAAAAUGUUAGGUGUCAGCUUUCAGGGCUCUGAAACCCCAUUCCCUGCUCUGAGGAACAGUGUGAAAAAAAGUCUUUUAGGAGAUUUACAAUAUCUGUUCUUUUGCUCAUCUUAGACCACAGACUGACUUUGAAAUUAUGUUAAGUGAAAUAUCAAUGAAAAUAAAGUUUACUAUAAAUAAU
rnacentral:lncRNA from 1 species